rnacentral:rRNA from 1 species
UACGGGGGGGGCAAGCGUUGUUCGGAAUCACUGGGCUUAAAGGGCGCGUAGGCGGCCCGCCGCGUCCGGGGUGAAAUCCUCCCGCUCAACGGGAGAACGGCCUCGGAUACGGGCGGGCUGGAGGGGGGUAGGGGCAGGCGGAACUGUGGGUGGAGCGGUGAAAUGCGUUGAGAUCCACAGGAACUCCGGUGGCGAAGGCGGCCUGCUGGACCCCAUCUGACGCUGAGGCGCGAAAGCCAGGGGAGCGAACGGG